rnacentral:lncRNA from 1 species
AAUAUCACCAUAUUAUAGAUAUACAUAGAUCUCGUCUUAAUAUAUAUAUAUAUAUAUACACAUCAUCAUAUAUUAGAGAUGGCAGCAGAUAAAUAUUCUGUUUAAUUCAAUAGUUUAGAUCUUUCUAUACCUUGAAAUUUAUAAAUCACAAAUUUAGUUUAUGCUGUCAGCUGUGUAACUCUAUCUUUGAUUUGUUUAGUAGGCAUAACUUCAAAAUAAUAGAAAACUGUUG